UACGUAGGGUGCGAGCGUUGUCCGGAAUUAUUGGGCGUAAAGAGCUUGUAGGCGGUUUGGCGCGUCUGCUGUGAAAAUCCGGGGCUCAACCCCGGACUUGCAGUGGGUACGGGCAGACUAGAGUGUGGUAGGGGAGACUGGAAUUCCUGGUGUAGCGGUGAAAUGCGCAGAUAUCAGGAGGAACACCGAUGGCGAAGGCAGGUCUCUGGGCCACUACUGACGCUGAGAAGCGAAAGCGUGGGGAGCGAACAGG
rnacentral:rRNA from 1 species